GACGAACGCUGGCGGCGUGCCUAAUACAUGCAAGUCGAGCGGACAGAUGGGAGCUUGCUCCCUGAAGUCAGCGGCGGACGGGUGAGUAACACGUGGGCAACCUGCCUGUAAGACUGGGAUAACUCCGGGAAACCGGGGCUAAUACCGGAUAACUCUUUCCCUCACAUGAGGGAAAGCUGAAAGAUGGUUUCGGCUAUCACUUACAGAUGGGCCCGCGGCGCAUUAGCUAGUUGGUGAGGUAACGGCUCACCAAGGCCACGAUGCGUAGCCGACCUGAGAGGGUGAUCGGCCACACUGGGACUGAGACACGGCCCAGACUCCUACGGGAGGCAGCAGUAGGGAAUCUUCCGCAAUGGACGAAAGUCUGACGGAGCAACGCCGCGUGAGUGAUGAAGGUUUUCGGAUCGUAAAACUCUGUUGUUAGGGAAGAACAAGUACCGGAGUAACUGCCGGUACCUUGACGGUACCUAACCAGAAAGCCACGGCUAACUACGUGCCAGCCGCCGCCGUAACAC
rnacentral:rRNA from 1 species